UACGAAGGGGGCUAGCGUUGUUCGGAAUUACUGGGCGUAAAGCGCACGUAGGCGGACUUUUAAGUCAGGGGUGAAAUCCCGGGGCUCAACCCCGGAACUGCCUUUGAUACUGGCGGUCUUGAGUCCGGGAGAGGUGAGUGGAACUCCGAGUGUAGAGGUGAAAUUCGUAGAUAUUCGGAAGAACACCAGUGGCGAAGGCGGCUCACUGGCCCGGAACUGACGCUGAGGCGCGAAAGCGUGGGGAGCAAACAGG
rnacentral:rRNA from 1 species